rnacentral:rRNA from 1 species
AGUGAACGCUGGCGGUAGGCCUAACACAUGCAAGUCGAACGGCAGCACAGUAAUAGCUUGCUCUUACGGGUGGCGAGUGGCGGACGGGUGAGGAAUACAUCGGAAUCUACUUUUUCGUGGGGGAUAACGUAGGGAAACUUACGCUAAUACCGCAUACGACCUACUGGUGAAAGCAUGGGAUCUUCGGACCUUGCGCGAUUGAAUGAGCCGAUGUCGGAUUAGCUAGUUGGCGGGGUAAAGGCCCACCAAGGCGACGAUCCGUAGCUGGUCUGAGAGGAUGAUCAGCCACACUGGAACUGAGACACGGUCCAGACUCCUACGGGAGGCAGCAGUGGGGAAUAUUGGACAAUGGGCGCAAGCCUGAUCCAGCCAUACCGCGUGGGUGAAGAAGGCCUUCGGGUUGUAAAGCCCUUUUGUUGGGAAAGAAAAGCAGCAGGUUAAUACCCCGCUGUUCUGACGGUACCCAAAGAAUAAGCACCGGCUAACUUCGUG